CAGUAGCCACGGGAAUACGGAGGGUGCAAGCGUUAAUCGGAAUUACUGGGCGUAAAGCGCACGCAGGCGGUCUGACAAGUCAGAUGUGAAAUCCCCGGGCUUAACCUGGGAACUGCAUUUGAAACUGUCAGGCUGGAGUCUUGUAGAGGGGGGUGGAAUUCCAGGUGUAGCGGUGAAAUGCGUAGAGAUCUGGAGGAAUACCGGUGGCGAAGGCGGCCCCCUGGACAAAGACUGACGCUCAGGUGCGAAAGCGUGGGGAGCAAACAGGAUUAGAUACCCGGUAGUCCCUGUCUCUUAUACA
rnacentral:rRNA from 1 species